GACCGGCGCCGUUCCUCUUCCAGCCAGGGUUAUUCGCUAGAGGAUCGAACUCGGACGUCCACACCACCAAGUGCUGCAGGUCCCUCCAUGUUAGAUCAGGACUGGAAACAUUCAGACACCUACACUUCAAGCGAAUAUCCCAGCUGCCAGUGGAGCAGAAGCAGAUGUUCCAGUGUGUGUCUCUGUGCAUUCAUUGUGAAGAUCAGCACUGGUCUGCAGUACAAUAAAUGAGACAACGGGUUUAAGGUACACAGAUAUAUGUACGUCCAUUAAUUAUUCACAGGACAAAGUACCAACCAGGGGAGACUGUAAAUGUCGUGUUUCAAACAACAACAACACUACAUUUGUAUGUGGGAAGUGGUAGCUCAGUGGUGAGUUCAAAUACCAGCUACACCAAGCUGCCACUGCUGGGCCCUUGAGCAAGGUUCUUAACCCUCAAUUGCUCAGCUGAUAUAAGAGAUAAUUGUAUGAGAUAAUUGUAAGUCGAUCUGGAUAAGGGCAUCUGCCAAAUGCCAUAAAUGUAAAUGUAAUGUCAGGCUGUAAUAAGAAACUUAAAUUGGGGCUACUGGUGGUUUCUGAGGUUUGGGUCAAUAAUCAAAGGAAUUGUCUGUAGAAUUUGUCUGACUGAUAUUGUGAUCUAGUUACUACAUUUAUAUUUACAUUUACACUUAUGAUAUUUGGCAGAUGCCCUUAUCCAGAGUGACUUACGGAAAUGCUUUGAACUCUCUAUCAAUACCUACAUCCUGAUACUGGUUCACUAACUCACAGACUAAGAGUACUAUCAGUCUAAUCUGACUACAUAUAAUCUGAGUCCAGGAUGCAGAGUGUAUGUGUUUAAGUGACUCACAAUCCUCUGGUCAGUGUAGUCUCCACUGCUGUAGGCGGUGGCGAGGGUGGAUGAACAUUUCUCAGCAUACCAGGGCGAGAGACCCUGCUGUGAUGCGCUGCUGAUGGAGACGGUGAAGAUGCUGUCCGUAUACCCAUCACAGUCACAGUUAUCACCCUGACGCCCACCGUUACCUGACGCCCAAACAAAGAUGGAGCCCUUUCCACCACGGCCCUGAGGACACCGAGCCAACAAAGUCUUUCUUAAAACGCGAACGUUAUAUCAUAUCGAAUGAAAUUGUACACAGGGAGUUGGUGUCUCACCUUCUGGAUGCCAUACUCGAAGGCUUUCUGUGCCAGACGACCUGGCCCCUCUACUGUUUUUCCAUCGUCGUUCGGCCCCCAGCUGGCACUAUAGAUGUCAACGUGGUCAGGGUUAAACCCUAUAGAGCUCGCCUCGAUGGCAUCGGUCACAAUUCCGUCCAACAUUCGGAUUCCUGAGGAUCAAAAUGAAGUGGGGAAAGGGAAUGUGAAUGUGAUGGAGGCUUUUUUUAAAUGGAAUUUUCAAUUGUACUGGUUAGUAUAAUGUGUUCUUUUUAAAUAUAUCAAAUAUAAAAGUUUGGAGACCCAAAUGGACCUAUAGCAUGUUUCAAUUGGUGUAGAAAAGUCCAAGUAUGUGGUAAUUCAGAUGAGAGUUCAAAAGUAGUGAUCAAAACACAGAAACAUUCUGCCUUUGACGGCUAACUGUCACAUCACAGCAACCCACAGACUCAAUCUCCCAGCAAGCACCGCCGCCUACCCACAUGAGCAGCCUAUAUAAAGAGACUUUCAUUGAUUCGUUCUAUGCAAAGUAUUUGCCCGUAUUUUCAUUGUGUUAGUCUUCUCCGGUCUGAUCCUGUUUCUGUCCAUAGUUUGUGACCCAGUUUAUCCUGUUUGCGAAUCACCUGACCUUUUGUGCCUGUUUUUCGACAGCAUCUUUGCUCAGCGUUUUGGAUUGUUUGCAUCACUUUCCUUAAACUGCUCUGUCUGCAUUUGCAUUUGUCUCAACCUCCAUUUUGUGAUACUAACAGCCUUUCUUAUAAUAAAAAAAACCCACACCAAAAUA